rnacentral:lncRNA from 1 species
AAAGGAUCGGUGCUAUUGAAAAACUGUCUAACUAUCCUACGAAAGUGAGACGAUGGUCUUCAGGCCACAAUCAUAGUCCCUCAGAGCUUUCAGAAUCUGAAGGAGGUGACUGCAGGUCCCCAGGAGGGGUGAGGAGGAUGGCAAGUGGGUGAAGGUCCAGACCUCAACUCAAGAGCAGCUCCCCUUUGAUCUCCUUGACAUAUUUGGAAUCCCUCACAAAUUUGCAUUUGGGAAAAGAGCUCUCCUGCUUAAAAAAAAUAUGAAAGCCUCUAUCAAUAAUUUAUUCUUAACAGCUUUUGUAAUGAUUUAAUUUAUUUAAUCAGUCCUCCUUCUGGUGGCCAUAUAGAUAUUUUCCCAAAUGGAUGAUGUUACAAACUGAUGUUAUCAACAAACUGGGCAACUAA